rnacentral:rRNA from 1 species
UACGUAGGGGGCAAGCGUUGUCCGGAAUUAUUGGGCGUAAAGAGCUCGUAGGCGGUUUGUCGCGUCGAAUGUGAAAUCCCGGGGCUCAACCCCGGGCCUGCAUUCGAUACGGGCAGACUAGAGUUCGGUAGGGGAGUCUGGAAUUCCUGGUGUAGCGGUGAAAUGCUUAGAUAUGUUAUAGAACACCAAUUGCGUAGGCAGCUCACUAUGCCAACAUUGACGCUGAGGCACGAAAGCGUGGGUAGCGAACAGG